GAUGAACGCUAGCUACAGGCUUAACACAUGCAAGUCGAGGGGAAACGAUAGAGAAAGCUUGCUUUUUCUAGGCGUCGACCGGCGCACGGGUGAGUAACGCUUAUCCAACCUGCCCAUCACUUGGGGAUAACCUUGCGCAAUUAAGACUAAUACCCAAUGACGUCUCUAGAAGACAUCUGAAAGAGAUUAAAGAUCUAUCGGUGAUGGAUGGGGAUGCGUCUGAUUAGCUUGUUGGCGGGGUAACGGCCCACCAAGGCGACGAUCAGUAGGGGUUCUAGGAGGAAGGUCGCCCACAUUGGAACUGAGAGACGGUCCAAACUCCUACGGGAGGCAGCAGUGAGGAAUAUUGGUCAAUGGACGAGAGUCUGAACCAGCCAAGUAGCGUGCAGGAUGACGGUCCUAUGGGUUGUAAACUGCUUUUAUAAGGGAAUAAAGUGAGUCUCGGGAGACUUUUUGCAUGGACCUUAUGAAUAAGGACCGGCUAUUUCCGUGCCAGCCGCCGCCGUAA
rnacentral:rRNA from 1 species